AACGGCCGUACCAUGCUGAAUAUACCGGUUCCCGUUAGAUCACCGAAGUUAAGCAUCAUUGGGCGUGGUCAGUACUUGGGUGGGGGACCACCUGGGAACACUGCGUGCCGUU
rnacentral:rRNA from 1 species